CAUUGUUGAUCGCGCUACAGAUGUUUCCUAGCAACUGAUUAACACAUUACUAAAGUCGUCUAGAUAAGAUAAAUAGCUAGUUAAUAAUAAUAAUAAUAAUAAUCUUUAUUUAUAGAGCACUUUAAAUGUAUAUUUAUGAAGAGCUGCUGCAACACGUACAGGUUUAUAAUGAACAUUACAGACUCACACGGUGUUUAAUGAUCAAUAUAAAUGAUCUUAUUGUAAACGGACAGGUUUACAGAUCUGGUUCUGUCUCUGUUCAGUUCCCUCGUCCUCAUCCUGAGGCCUGUGAGUGAAUAGAGGUGUUGUGUAAUCCUGUUACGUAUGCUCUCUGUGUGUUACUGAGGUCUGCAGCGGCAAGCCUGAAGCCGGAAAGUUAAAGGAAAGAGGGUGAGCGAGGAAAGUACAAUCUUCUGUUUAGUUUACAGUUCUGUUUCUGGUAUUUAUUUUUCGGCUCGGGGAGUGAACGUCUACAGCUGCUCUGAUUGGAGGCUCGUUUUCUAACUCCAGAAGCUCUUAAAAAUGUCUCUGUGGCUUUGGCGGCGCUCCGUUAUUGUGUUUCUGUUUAAGGAGAAGCAGAGGAGAGAAAGUGUCUCUGUGUUGAGUUUGUUUCCUCAAUCUGACUCAUGUCUCUCUUGGGGGCCAAAUGAAGUCACAGAUGAAUAAAUAUUUCUCCGGCAGAGGGAAAAGAGUUUGAUGCUGAACCUCGUCCAAGUUCCUCAUUCCAGCUCCCCUCACUAAGUUUCUAUAAACUCUCCCCUCAGCCCAACAGUCAGUCUGAUGUUAGCUUCCACUCUCCUUUAGAGGGCUCAGGCUCAGUAUCAAACCUCCGGACUGGUCCCAGUUCUGAAAACUGUUCAGAUUUUUAAGGGCAACACACUCGCAGUGUGCGACGUCCCUGGAAACACGUUCGAUGUAAAUAAAAGUUUCUCAACGAUAUUAAUGUACGGUGCAGAGUUGGGCUUUAGUUCUUGGUGCUGUUGACAUCGCCAGUAAAUACGUGAGCUCGCUAGCUAGUUAGCUGUUGGACUGUGAGAGAGCGACGGAGCAGAGGUGUAGUGGAGGUAAACCCAGGUAGACUCAGUUAAUCCACCUCUUUGAAUUAAAGUUCCCAGUUUAGUUGCUGUAGUCAAGACCAACUUUGUCUAGUCCAAGACCAGGAGAACUCAAGACCAAGAGUACAAAGAGGUUCAAGUCCAAAUGACAGAAAGAUAAAAAUACUUUCACCAAUGAGAUGAGUUUGGCUCAGUGUCAGGACCCGGUUUCUACCUGGAUUCUGAAUUAAACGUGUUUUCUGAACAAGCCGAAUCAGUUGGUUUGUUCUCAGUUACUUCAGUUCAAAACAUAUAUUGUUGGACUCUGUCGAGACCAACGGCUGAGUCUGAGUCCAAAUACCAACGAGUCCGAGAUCUCGGGUACUACGGCUCUGGUCCAAUGGCGAGGUGUUCCUUUAAACUGUGAGAUUUUGGGCAACGCUGAUGAAACAUAACGCCGAACUCGAGGCUUUAAUACGGAUCUCUGCAAACCGAUGGGUGACGUGACGAUAGGUUCACACCUGGUUCAGAUGUGUUGUUGCACUUUUGUUCACUUUGAUCAGAAACUUCCAAACUGAAAACCAAAUAUGUGGAUCUUUUAGUUCUUUACAUAAGAUAACACAUGAUAUCGAUCUACUCUGAGGGCUCCAUACACACAUUUUAUAUAAAGGCUUUACAGAAGACUCUGAUUAUAAGCAUCAGCUGUGUAUCAACUCCAGUCUCUUCCCUGAUUCCUGGAGCAUCCGAGCAUGAAGCCCUCCAUCCUCCUCCCUCCCUCCAGUGUUUGUGGAUCAAUUUACUGAAUUCAAAUUGUUUGUCUGACUUUAUCUUUUCAGGAUAGAGUUCACAUCUGAUUUUACCUCUCUAUAAUCAACCUCAGCAGACACACAGUGUGUUAGGAAGAACCUGAGCGCCUGAAUAAGACGUCAACCUCAGCUUCUGUAGUCGCCUCCGUUUUCUUUCUGAGGACGACGCUGAAGAAUGAAUCCACUGAUUCUCGACUAUGCAGUUUGUUUUUAUUUCACCUUUUUCUGUCGUCGGAGCUGCUUGUGAAUAGCAAAAAAAAACGUCUUUACACCAAAGUGCCUUCAGGAAUCUGUCGUUUCUACAGUCUGAUUGUGUGUUGAGGAUUUUUAAAGCGAGGGGAGAGAUUUCAGCCUCGAGCGGGUCGAGUUGCAUCGACAGGAAGUGUGACGUUAGCGUUAGCGUUGGAGCACGGAGAGGAGAUCGUGUGACUUUCUUUUUUUUUUUUGUUAAAAUGAUUAAACUGUGAUUAAAUCCAAAUGAAUUUCAGCCUGAGUUUAGUCUAGUCUGCGAGUUAACAGUAAUCUGCUGAUCUCUCACUGCUGUUCUUAGACGAACAUAUUUUAGGUGUAAAAGUCGAACCACAGAAGUUUAAACGUCUUCGUGUGUUUUUGAGGUUUUGAGUUCUUCUGUGUUUGGUUUUAAUGUUAAAUGCAAUAAACGUGUGAAACCGUA